rnacentral:rRNA from 1 species
GGGGAUUUGCCAUGGGGGNAACCCUGAAUGCAGCCAUGCCGCGUGUGUGAAGAAGGCCUUCGGGUUGUAAAGCACUUUCAGCGAGGAGGAAAGGUUGGUAGCUAAUAACUGCCAGCUGUGACGUUACUCGCAGAAGAAGCACCGGCUAACUCCGUGCCAGCAGCCGCGGUAAUACGGAGGGUGCAAGCGUUAAUCGGAAUUACUGGGCGUAAAGCGCACGCAGGCGGUUGGAUAAGUUAGAUGUGAAAGCCCCGGGCUCAACCUGGGAAUUGCAUUUAAAACUGUCCAGCUAGAGUCUUGUA